rnacentral:rRNA from 1 species
GGAUUAGAUACCCUGGUAGUCCACGCCCUAAACGAUGUCAACUAGGUGUAUGGGAAAUAUAUUUCUUGUGUAUCGAAGCUAACGCGAUAAGUUGACCGCCUGGGGAGUACGGUCGCAAGACUAAAACUCAAAUGAAUUGACGGGGGCCCGCACAAGCGGUGGAGCAUGUGGUUUAAUUCGAUGCAACGCGAAGAACCUUACCUGGCCUUGACAUGCACGGAACUUUCCAGAGAUGGAUUGGUGCCUUCGGGAACCGUGACACAGGUGCUGCAUGGCUGUCGUCAGCUCGUGCCG